GGUGAAGGCUAUUUCAGAUAUGGUAGAGCACCUUGUGCCCAGGCCCUUCUUUUCCUGACACGCACGUGAGUAAAUGAUAUUCUCCUUAUCAUGAUAACAUUCCUAUUUCUUACGUGCUUGCAACUUGCCAUGGCGUUUUAUACUUUAUAUGGCUUUACAGAAGAUAGUGGGAUAGUGAAAUAUCUUAAAUAAUAGCGGGUUUUAUUCAAACAUCAUUUCAAAGAUAAAGAUGACUAAGGUGACUAGGAAGAGUCCUUUCAGUUUAUGGUGGGCAAUAAAAGUGAGGAUUCCUUGUUGUAGGAUGAUUUUCAGAGUCAAUACAUAAUAUGUGCCAUCACUCAUUGACUUUCCUUGCACAAACUGUGAUGCAUACCAGCAAACAAAAACACCACAACUUGAAGUAUCUUGUUGAAGAGUAUG